AUGCCCUCCCUCCUCUCCCCCUUCGCCGCCGGCGACUGCUCCGCCGAUAAGUUCGACCCCGACUACCUCUACUUCCUCCGCCACCUUCGCACCGAAGGCAGCUCCUAUGUCCUCGAGCUCCCGCCCGGCGGCGCCUCCCCUGCCCCCGUCAUCAGGUACGAGUCCCCCAUCGCCAUCUCUGACGGCGAAUGCGUCUCGGACCCCUCCCCGGGCGGCGCAAGCGCCAACCGCCGGUCGGAAGAGAGGGACUCGUCGGUGGAGACGCCCCCCUCGUGGAUCGACUCCAUCGUCGACAUCGACGAGGAUUACCGCCUUUUCCUGCACCACACGUGCGUGGUGAAUAACCGCCUGAAGCUCCAGAUGGGGGGCGUCGUUGUGGACUACGAGCCGGACCCGGACGCCGCGCAAUCUGGAGGCAGCAGCGGGAUCGAGGAGCAAUCGGAGAAAGAGGCGGCCGUUGCUUCCUCGGGGGUAGAGGAGCAGGCAGUCGACUCAGAUGUGCCGGUUGUAAUCAUGCCGGAGCCGAACGCCUACGACUGGCGUGCGGAUCCAGCCCCUCGUCAAAGGAUGCAGGGUCAGGAAGAUAUUGGGCACAAGGAUGCUCAGCCUCGCGUUGCUUCGUCACAUAGAUCAGAUGUUAUAUGGCCUCCACAUAUCAACCGUAGGCCAGAUUCAGACUUCAAGCGAAGAUUGAUGGAUGCUCUUCAGAAGCCAUUUAGCCGGAAAGAGUAUAUUAAGCUGUUUGACAUGGCUUCUAUUCGUACUCCUUUAGUGAAGUUGCGACAGGUGCGCAAUGAUGCAAAAUUCUACCCUACCGAGGAGAUGGGCAAUUCAUAUUUUGAUCAUUACCCAGAUCUUGUUGAACAAGUUACAAACACUAGCUUUUCGAAGGGUUUAGCUCUGAUGCGUGGAUUUUUCUUCUGGUUGCAGAAUAGUGCACACGAGGAUCAAUUCAGGCCAUGGAUAGAUGAUCUGAAAGAUCAAGAUGUUAUUCCAUUGAUGGACUUAGAUUACCCAUUGCCUUAG
rnacentral:rRNA from 1 species